GACGAACGCUGGCGGCGUGCUUAACACAUGCAAGUCGAACGGUAAGGCCCUUCGGGGUACACGAGUGGCGAACGGGUGAGUAACACGUGGGUGGUCUGCCCUGCACUUCGGGAUAAGCCUGGGAAACUGGGUCUAAUACCGGAUAGGACCACUGCCUGCAUGGGUGGUGGUGGAAAGCUUUUGCGGUGUGGGAUGGGCCCGCGGCCUAUCAGCUUGUUGGUGGGGUGAUGGCCUACCAAGGCGACGACGGGUAGCCGGCCUGAGAGGGUGACCGGCCACGCUGGGACUGAGAUACGGCCCAGACUCCUACGGGAGGCAGCAGUGGGGAAUAUUGCACAAUGGGCGCAAGCCUGAUGCAGCGACGCCGCGUGAGGGAUGACGGCCUUCGGGUUGUAAACCUCUUUCAGCACCGACGAAGCGCAAGUGACGGUAGGUGCAGAAGAAGGACCGGCCAACUACGUGCCAGCCGCCGCAGUAA
rnacentral:rRNA from 1 species